AUAUCGCACCCAAAAAAAUAACAAUCAUUAAAAAAAAAAAAAAAAAAGGAGAGAGAGAGAAAAAAAAAAAAAAACACAACUCAACCCCAAAGCUACGGCAAGAAGAUGAAAAAUAUUUUAAAGGUUUCAUCCAGCAGGAGAGUUUAAAAGCAUUGCAGAGUUUUAUAGCGCUCCUGACGUCAGCCUCCGAAUGGCAAAUUGGCUGGGCGGGCGGCCCAAUGGGCUGCCUGCAGCCGCCGGCAUUAGCAUAAUAGUAUAGAAACAAGGAAACUUUUCGGGGCUGUCAAUCAGGGCGCAACCAGCUGACUGUCAGCUGGGAGCGCCGUAACCCCUUCCUGCCCGCCCCGCUCGCCGGGGACCGGGCACCGGGCUGGGGCCGCUCCGCCCGCCGGGACGCGCCGUCGGGUGCCCGCCCGGCUCCGCUCCGCUCCGCGCUGCCUCGCUUUGUCCUGCUUUGCUUUGUCCUGCUCUGCCCUGCUCUGCCCUGCUCUGCCCCGGGGUGAGGAGCCCCCGGGUGCUCCUGGCCGGCCGGGCACCCGAGGGCACCGGGGGGACUUGGCCCGGGGGCGUGCGGGGACUGCCCGAGGGAGGGGGCGGCUCCGCGGGGCUCCGCGGGGCUCGGCGGUGCUGCCGAGCGCAGCCGGGCUCCAGCCGGUGCCUGGUGCCGGUACCGAGACCCCCGGGCCGCCCCCCCCGCGGCGGCUCCCCCCUGGGUUUGCCGCUCGCUGCCGGCCGCGAUCGUUCCCCGGCCGCCCCCAGCAGAGAGCCUCCCCUCCCGGUGCCCCCCGGCCGGGGCUGGAGGGGGAAGCCGUGCGAGCGCGGAGCGGGCUGCACCCGGCGGUGCCGAGCGGCGGCGGAGCGGCUCCGUUCAAACCUCGACAGCGCCAUCUCUCGUCGAAAGGUCAGUGCCGAGGCCGUCCCCGGCCGGCGCCGAGCCGCGGGAGCCGAGCCGAGCCGUGCCGGGCCGUGCCGAGCCGUGCCGUCGGGGCCCCGCCGUCGGGGCUGGCCCCCCCCGGCCCGGCCCGGCCCGGCUCGGCUCGGUUGGGGUCCCCCCUCGGUCCCCCCUUGCGCCGGGGAAACCCGCAGCCUGUCGAGCUGCCAGGCUCGCUUUGCCGAGCGAGCUUUAUGGGAAUAUCGAUAGAAUUAAAGUUACUUGUAAUUCCGUGA
rnacentral:lncRNA from 1 species